AGCUCCAAUAGCGUAUAUUAAAGUUGUUGCGGUUAAAAAGCUCGUAGUUGGAUUUCUGCCGAGGACGACCGGUCCGCCCUCUGGGUGAGUAUCUGGCUCGGCUUGGGCAUCUUCUUGGAGAACGUAGCUGCACUUGACUGUGUGGUGCGGUAUCCAGGACUUUUACUUUGAGGAAAUUAGAGUGUUUCAAGCAGGCAUACGCCUUGAAUACAUUAGCAUGGAAUAAUAAGAUAGGACCUCGGUUCUAUUUUGUUGGUUUCUAGAGCUGAGGUAAUGAUUAAUAGGGAUAGUUGGGGGCAUUCGUAUUUAACUGUCAGAGGUGAAAUUCUUGGAUUUGUUAAAGACGGACUACUGUGAAAGCAUUUGCCAAGGAUGUUUUCAUUG
rnacentral:rRNA from 1 species